rnacentral:snoRNA from 1 species
CAUAUUAUUUAAAUUUACCCUUUCGGAAUACCAUGCUGAUGCAUUCUAAAUUUUGACCCCAAAUGCAAUUUUUAACAGCUCAAAUGGCCGGAAGUAGAUCAAUUAUCAUUCCCAAUUUCUAAUCCAGCAUUUCAUAACAAAGGUAAUCUAUGGUGUCUUCGGAUGCUGUAGUUUUACUGCAUUUAUUUGCUUGGUUCGCUUUCUUUGGGACAUUU